UGGGGAAUUUUGGACAAUGGGCGAAAGCCUGAUCCAGCAAUGCCGCGUGUGUGAAGAAGGCCUUCGGGUUGUAAAGCACUUUUGUCCGGAAAGAAAUCCUUGGCUCUAAUACAGUCGGGGGAUGACGGUACCGGAAGAAUAAGCACCGGCUAACUACGUGCCAGCAGCCGCGGUAAUACGUAGGGUGCAAGCGUUAAUCGGAAUUACUGGGCGUAAAGCGUGCGCAGGCGGUUUGCUAAGACCGAUGUGAAAUCCCCGGGCUCAACCUGGGAACUGCAUUGGUGACUGGCAGGCUAGAGUAUGGUAGAGGGGGGUAGAAUUCCACGUGUAGCAGUGAAAUGCGUAGAGAUGUGGAGGAAUACCGAUGGCGAAGGCAGCCCCCUGGGCCAAUACUGACGCUCAUGCACGAAAGCGUGGGGAGCAAACAGGAUUAGAUACCCUGGUAGUCCACGCCCUAAACGAUGUCAACUAGUUGUUGGGGAUUCAUUUCCUUAGUAACGUAGCUAACGCGUGAAGUUGACCGCCUGGGGAGUACGGUCGCAAGAUUAAAACUUAAAUGAAUUGACGGGGUCAUAGCUGUUUCCU
rnacentral:rRNA from 1 species